GACGAACGCUGGCGGCGUGCUUAACACAUGCAAGUCGAACGGAAAGGCCCUGCUUUUGUGGGGUGCUCGAGUGGCGAACGGGUGAGUAACACGUGAGUAACCUGCCCUUGACUUUGGGAUAACUUCAGGAAACUGGGGCUAAUGCCGGAUAGGAGCUCCUGCUGCAUGGUGGGGGUUGGAAAGUUUCGGCGGUUAGGGAUGGACUCGCGGCUUAUCAGCUUGUUGGUGGGGUAGUGGCUUACCAAGGCUUUGACGGGUAGCCGGCCUGAGAGGGUGACCGGCCACAUUGGGACUGAGAUACGGCCCAGACUCCUACGGGAGGCAGCAGUGGGGAAUAUUGCACAAUGGGCGGAAGCCUGAUGCAGCAACGCCGCGUGCGGGAUGACGGCCUUCGGGUGGUAAACCGCUUUCGCCUGUGACGAAGCGUGAGUGACGGUAAUGGGUAAAGAAGCACCGGCUAACUACGU
rnacentral:rRNA from 1 species